UACAGAGGGUGCAAGCGUUAAUCGGAAUUACUGGGCGUAAAGCGUGCGUAGUCGGUUAUUUAAGUCGGGUGUGAAAGCCCCGGGCUCAACCUGGGAAUUGCAUUCGAUACUGGAUAGCUAGAGUUCGGCAGAGGGAAGCGGAAUUUCCGGUGUAGCGGUGAAAUGCGUAGAUAUCAGGAGGAAUACCGAUGGCGAAGGCAGGUCUCUGGGCUGACACUGACGCUCAUGCACGAAAGCGUGGGGAGCAAACAGG
rnacentral:rRNA from 1 species